AUGAACGCUGGCGGCGUGCCUAAUACAUUCCAGUCGAGCGAACAGACGAGGAGCUUGCUCCUCUGACGUUAGCGGCGGACGGGUGAGUAACACGUGGAUAACCUACCUAUAAGACUGGGAUAACUUCGGGAAACCGGAGCUAAUACCGGAUAAUAUAUUGAACCGCAUGGUUCAAUAGUGAAAGACGGUUUUGCUGUCACUUAUAGAUGGAUCCGCGCCGCAUUAGCUAGUUGGUAAGGUAACGGCUUACCAAGGCAACGAUGCGUAGCCGACCUGAGAGGGUGAUCGGCCACACUGGAACUGAGACACGGUCCAGACUCCUACGGGAGGCAGCAGUAGGGAAUCUUCCGCAAAGGGCGAAAGCCUGACGGAGCAACGCCGCGUGAGUGAUGAAGGUCUUCGGAUCGUAAAACUCUGUUAUUAGGGAAGAACAAAUGUGUAAGUAACUAUGCACGUCUUGACGGUACCUAAUCAGAAAGCCACGGCUAACUACGUG
rnacentral:rRNA from 1 species